rnacentral:rRNA from 1 species
GAUGAACGCUGGCGGCGUGCCUAAUACAUGCAAGUCGAGCGAACUGAUUAGAAGCUUGCUUCUAAGACGUUAGCGGCGGACGGGUGAGUAACACGUGGGCAACCUGCCUGUAAGACUGGGAUAACUUCGGGAAACCGAAGCUAAUACCGGAUAGGAUCUUCUCCUUCAUGGGAGAUGAUUGAAAGAUGGUUUCGGCUAUCACUUACAGAUGGGGCCGCGGUGCAUUAGCUAGUUGGUGAGGUAACGACUCACCAAGGCAACGAUGCAUAGCCGACCUGAGAGGGUGAUCGGCCACACUGGGACUGAGACACGGCCCAGACUCCUACGGGAGGCAGCAGUAGGGAAUCUUCCGCAAUGGACGAAAGUCUGACGGAGCAACGCCGCGUGAGUGAUGAAGGCUUUCGGGUCGUAAAACUCCGUUGUUAGGGAAGAACAAGUACGAGAGUAACUGCUCGUACCUUGACGGUACCUAACCAGAAAGCCACGGCUAACUACGUGCCAGCAGCCGCCGUAAAAC